CCUGGUGGUUCUAGCGAGGAGCUUCAACCCGAUCCCAUCCCGAACUCGGCCGUUAAACUCCUCAGCGCCAAUGGUACUAUGGCUUAAGCCCUGGGAGAGUAGGUCGCUGCCAGGCCUGCAAAGGACAAACAUCCUCAAUUACGAUAUCAAUCAAAAAACGCCGCGCUCUCUGUGCUAUCGCACGAGAGCGCGGCGUUUUUU
rnacentral:rRNA from 1 species